UUUUUAAUUAAUUUAUUGUUCCAGGGCUGCGUCGGUCAACGUCGCAUGUUGGUGUCUUGGCGAUACUAAAUUGUUUGCUGUACAGGCACUGGUCUGUCCGAUGAUCAGAAGACUUAUAAAACACGAACUUGUCAUUUUCUCAUCUAAAAUCAGUGUUAGACUUUAGUGAUUGGAAAAUUACAUGAAAAUGAUGCAGGUAAAGUUAUUUUAUCAACAACGUGAGUUGAAUGUAGUGAAUUUUAUACUUGUACAUAAUAAUUAACUUGUACUAGGACUUUUAAGAUGAUAGUGAUGUUUCGCUUCGACGAACCUUAUGUACGUAACUGUUACUUUAAAUAAGAAAUUUAAAAUAAAGGAGAUCCCUGUUUUUA